rnacentral:misc_RNA from 1 species
AAAAUCAUGAAAUUUCUAACAAAGAUGAAUUCUCACCGAGGAUUAAGCCGCUGCAAAAUUACCAUGUUCCCACUGGAAACAGUGAUCGACUGAAGAGGGAUGAAUGGAGUGAAGGAGCAGUUUCGUGUCUUCUCGAAGCUUAUGAAGCUAAAUGGAUACUCCGUAACAGAGCGAAGCUCAAGGGACAGGAUUGGGAGGAUGUGGCCAAGCACGUGUCGGCGCGUGUUUAUUCAACUAAAUCCCCCAAAACUCAGACGCAGUGUAAGAACAAAAUCGAAUCUAUGAAGAAGAGGUACCGAUCGGAAUCCGCAACCGCCGCCGAUGCUUCUUCCUGGCCGCUCUAUCCUCGCCUUGACCUAUUGUUACGUGGAAAUAAUGCAUCCGCGGCUUCCUCUUCGCUAAUUCCGCCGCCGCCGCUUCCGCCUAAUACUAAUUGUGUGAUUGAUGCCGUCGAACCACCACCACAGCAGCCAAUAUUACUACCUCCACCUCCGGCUACUCUUCCUCCUCCUCCUCCGCUCCCGCCGUCGCCGGCUUUGCCUUUUGGGAAUGGUGAUCAGAAUUCGCAUGGGUCUAAUGGUCUUGACAGAGGAAUAAAGGAAGACAUAUUAAUGGACGCCAAA